ACCUGCCCUAUGAUAAAUUAAAUGGCUGCGGUAUUCUGACCGUACAAAGGUAGCAUAAUCAUUAGUUUUUUAAUUGGGAACURGUAUGAAUGGUCGAACGAGAAAAAAACUGUCUCAAUUUAAUUUUAAUUAGAAUUUUAUUUUUAAGUUAAAAAGCUUAAAUGAUUUUAAAAGACGAGAAGACCCUAUAGAGUUUUAUAUUAAAUUAUUUAUGUAAAAAGUUAAAGAAUUAUGAAUUUUUUAUAAAUAAUAAAAUAUUUGAUUGGGGCGAUUGAGAAAUUUAAUUAACUUUUUUUAAAUUUAAACAUUAAUUUAUGAAUAAAUGAUCCAUAUUUAAUGAUUAUAAGAUUAAAUUA
rnacentral:rRNA from 1 species